UGUUCUGGCUCAACUAGCCUUAAGGCACCAGAUCUGUCUGAUUUUGGAAGCUAAGCAGGUUCAGUUCUGGUUAGUAUUUGGAUCAAAGAUGACCACCAAAUACCAAGUGCUAGACAGU
rnacentral:rRNA from 1 species